rnacentral:rRNA from 1 species
UUAAGCGACUAAGCGUACACGGUGGAUGCCCUGGCAGUCAGAGGCGAUGAAGGACGUGCUAAUCUGCGAUAAGCGUCGGUAAGGUGAUAUGAACCGUUAUAACCGGCGAUUUCCGAAUGGGGAAACCCAGUGUGUUUCGACACACUAUCAUUAACUGAAUCCAUAGGUUAAUGAGGCGAACCGGGGGAACUGAAACAUCUAAGUACCCCGAGGAAAAGAAAUCAACCGAGAUUCCCCCAGUAGCGGCGAGCGAACGGGGAGCAGCCCAGAGCCUGAAUCAGUGUGUGUGUUAGUGGAAGCGUCUGGAAAGGCGCGCGAUACAGGGUGACAGCCCCGUACACAAAAAUGCACAUGCUGUGAGCUCGAUGAGUAGGGCGGGACACGUGGUAUCCUGUCUGAAUAUGGGGGGACCAUCCUCCAAGGCUAAAUACUCCUGACUGACCGAUAGUGAACCAGUACCGUGAGGGAAAGGCGAAAAGAACCCCGGCGAGGGGAGUGAAAAAGAACCUGAAACCGUGUACGUACAAGCAGUGGGAGCCUCUUUUAUGGGGUGACUGCGUACCUUUUGUAUAAUGGGUCAGCGACUUAUAUUCUGUAGCAAGGUUAACCGAAUAGGGGAGCCGAAGGGAAACCGAGUCUUAACUGGGCGUUAAGUUGCAGGGUAUAGACCCGAAACCCGGUGAUCUAGCCAUGGGCAGGUUGAAGGUUGGGUAACACUAACUGGAGGACCGAACCGACUAAUGUUGAAAAAUUAGCGGAUGACUUGUGGCUGGGGGUGAAAGGCCAAUCAAACCGGGAGAUAGCUGGUUCUCCCCGAAAGCUAUUUAGGUAGCGCCUCGUGAAUUCAUCUCCGGGGGUAGAGCACUGUUUCGGCAAGGGGGUCAUCCCGACUUACCAACCCGAUGCAAACUGCGAAUACCGGAGAAUGUUAUCACGGGAGACACACGGCGGGUGCUAACGUCCGUCGUGAAGAGGGAAACAACCCAGACCGCCAGCUAAGGUCCCAAAGUCAUGGUUAAGUGGGAAACGAUGUGGGAAGGCCCAGACAGCCAGGAUGUUGGCUUAGAAGCAGCCAUCAUUUAAAGAAAGCGUAAUAGCUCACUGGUCGAGUCGGCCUGCGCGGAAGAUGUAACGGGGCUAAACCAUGCACCGAAGCUGCGGCAGCGACGCUUAUGCGUUGUUGGGUAGGGGAGCGUUCUGUAAGCCUGCGAAGGUGUGCUGUGAGGCAUGCUGGAGGUAUCAGAAGUGCGAAUGCUGACAUAAGUAACGAUAAAGCGGGUGAAAAGCCCGCUCGCCGGAAGACCAAGGGUUCCUGUCCAACGUUAAUCGGGGCAGGGUGAGUCGACCCCUAAGGCGAGGCCGAAAGGCGUAGUCGAUGGGAAACAGGUUAAUAUUCCUGUACUUGGUGUUACUGCGAAGGGGGGACGGAGAAGGCUAUGUUGGCCGGGCGACGGUUGUCCCGGUUUAAGCGUGUAGGCUGGUUUUCUAGGCAAAUCCGGAAAAUCAAGGCUGAGGCGUGAUGACGAGGCACUACGGUGCUGAAGCAACAAAUGCCCUGCUUCCAGGAAAAGCCUCUAAGCAUCAGGUAACAUCAAAUCGUACCCCAAACCGACACAGGUGGUCAGGUAGAGAAUACCAAGGCGCUUGAGAGAACUCGGGUGAAGGAACUAGGCAAAAUGGUGCCGUAACUUCGGGAGAAGGCACGCUGAUAUGUAGGUGAAGUCCCUCGCGGAUGGAGCUGAAAUCAGUCGAAGAUACCAGCUGGCUGCAACUGUUUAUUAAAAACACAGCACUGUGCAAACACGAAAGUGGACGUAUACGGUGUGACGCCUGCCCGGUGCCGGAAGGUUAAUUGAUGGGGUCAGCGCAAGCGAAGCUCUUGAUCGAAGCCCCGGUAAACGGCGGCCGUAACUAUAACGGUCCUAAGGUAGCGAAAUUCCUUGUCGGGUAAGUUCCGACCUGCACGAAUGGCGUAAUGAUGGCCAGGCUGUCUCCACCCGAGACUCAGUGAAAUUGAACUCGCUGUGAAGAUGCAGUGUACCCGCGGCAAGACGGAAAGACCCCGUGAACCUUUACUAUAGCUUGACACUGAACAUUGAGCCUUGAUGUGUAGGAUAGGUGGGAGGCUUAGAAGUGUGGACGCCAGUCUGCAUGGAGCCGACCUUGAAAUACCACCCUUUAAUGUUUGAUGUUCUAACGUGGACCCGUGAUCCGGGUUGCGGACAGUGUCUGGUGGGUAGUUUGACUGGGGCGGUCUCCUCCUAAAGAGUAACGGAGGAGCACGAAGGUUGGCUAAUCCUGGUCGGACAUCAGGAGGUUAGUGCAAUGGCAUAAGCCAGCUUGACUGCGAGCGUGACGGCGCGAGCAGGUGCGAAAGCAGGUCAUAGUGAUCCGGUGGUUCUGAAUGGAAGGGCCAUCGCUCAACGGAUAAAAGGUACUCCGGGGAUAACAGGCUGAUACCGCCCAAGAGUUCAUAUCGACGGCGGUGUUUGGCACCUCGAUGUCGGCUCAUCACAUCCUGGGGCUGAAGUAGGUCCCAAGGGUAUGGCUGUUCGCCAUUUAAAGUGGUACGCGAGCUGGGUUUAGAACGUCGUGAGACAGUUCGGUCCCUAUCUGCCGUGGGCGCUGGAGAACUGAGGGGGGCUGCUCCUAGUACGAGAGGACCGGAGUGGACGCAUCACUGGUGUUCGGGUUGUCAUGCCAAUGGCACUGCCCGGUAGCUAAAUGCGGAAGAGAUAAGUGCUGAAAGCAUCUAAGCACGAAACUUGCCCCGAGAUGAGUUCUCCCUGACCCUUUAAGGGUCCUGAAGGAACGUUGAAGACGACGACGUUGAUAGGCCGGGUGUGUAAGCGCAGCGAUGCGUUGAGCUAACCGGUACUAAUGAACCGUGAGGCUUAACCU